rnacentral:lncRNA from 1 species
GUGACCCCAUAGGUUCUAUUCUAUUUAGUAGUGAGAUAUAUUUUGAUCACUAUCAAUAAUAUCACUGAAACUCUUUUCAGUGGAUCGGAACAAUUCCAAUUCAGCCCAAUAAGAAUUAUCGAUCAUCUAGUUAAUUCUCAUGAGUCUCACAAUCCACCAGUGACGCCUAGCAGCAUGUAGUGGCAUUCCAGUAGAAUGGAAUACUGAACCUCUUGGUGCAGUUACCGUGUGAUACAAUCCUUCUAUCAUGAGUCCCGACUAGAUGGAGGUUAUGGAAUAACUCGUCAAACCCCAUCGUCUGUCAUAUGUUAAAUUUAUUCGACUCGAGUUUCUAAUAUCGAAAACCCUUUUCCUCUAUUAACUCUGCCCUGGCCAAGGUCUUCUAAACUCAGUCUCAUAAAUCACAUAGGACUAACACCCCUAUCUACCAAGGGAUAUAGAUUCCAUCUAAAUGCGCACCCUAUUCCUACAAUGAACCUACUGCAGCCAACAUGCACCGCAAGGAUCCGAAUGGCUAGGGACCAAGUGUAUGUACAGUGAAACUACAGUAACCUCAUUGUG